rnacentral:rRNA from 1 species
AGUAGUUGAUCCUGGCUCAGGACGAACGCUGGCGGCGUGCUUAACACAUGCAAGUCGAACGGAAAGGCCCUGCUUUUGUGGGGUGCUCGAGUGGCGAACGGGUGAGUAACACGCGAGUAACCUGCCCUUGACUUUGGGAUAACUUCAGGAAACUGGGGCUAAUACCGGAUAGGAGCUCCUGCUGCAUGGUGGGGGUUGGAAAGUUUCGGCGGUUGGGGAUGGACUCGCGGCUUAUCAGCUUGUUGGUGGGGUAGUGGCUUACCAAGGCUUUGACGGGUAGCCGGCCUGAGAGGGUGACCGGCCACAUUGGGACUGAGAUACUGCCCAGACUCCUACGGGAGGCAGCAGUGGGGAAUAUUGCACAAUGGGCGGAAGCCUGAUGCAGCAACGCCGCGUGCGGGAUGACGGCCUUCGGGUUGUAAACCGCUUUCGCCUGUGACGAAGCGUGAGUGACGGUAAUGGGUAAAGAAGCACCGGCUAACUACGUG